rnacentral:lncRNA from 1 species
GCGAUAACUGCCCUCCUUCUCUUCUAUCUGUCCCUGUGAUUAGGCGAUAACUGCCCUCCUUCUCUUCUAUCUGCCCCUACCUUGGGCCCCACAUGACUCAGCACUAAAGUGCCUUGAGCAGGCUCCAGCCCAAAAGUGGCCUCCACGGGCACCACUUCCCUCUCUGCUGUCCUGCCUUGCUUUCCUCCUGGCAGGGAAGAAGGAAGGAAAGAAGACCCUGACCUGGAAUCAUACACAUCAUCGCAAUUCAUCCACACCACAGUCCUGUAAGGGAUAGAAAGGAGGUCAUUCGAAGAGAUGAUGGCACGGGACCCAGGACCUGAGGAAGCUGCAGUGGGUGAAGGGGAGAAACAGAGGAGCAGGGGCUGGAGAAAGAGUGGGGAGUCAUCAACCACCCUCCUUUCUCCUGGCGUCUGGUGUUCGGAGCCCAG